CUUAAAUUAUCACGUUAUUGAGAUACACACAUAUACGUUUGUACUUUUGCAUCCAGUUUGUAUGCACACUAGCGCCGCCUAAUGGUUGAAUUCCUACUUACUUGGUUCGUCACUGGAUAGCCCGUGGCCCAGCCAACAACUUUGUCGAAGACACCACACAGUUAAAUUAUCACGUUAUUGAGAUACACGCAUAUACGUUAAUACUAUUGCAUGUAGUUUGUAUGCAUACUAGCGCCGCCCAGCGUUGGUUUUUCCAAUGAUUUAGUUCAUCACUGGACAGCUCUUGACCAUGCCAACAACUUUGCCGAAGAUACCAAGUUUUUAUAAAGCAAUAUCGCAAGAAUAAUUUCAAUCCUAACUAUCUCAUUUUUAUCAGGUACUUGCGUCUCCAUCCAGCGACGGGUGGUGACGCCGCAGAUGGCUGUUACCACCCUCUUCAACACGCAAAACGUGCAGUGAUGCCAAUUAAAGAAGUUAGAAAUCAUGCGAAUAAAAUGUCCAUUGUUUCGAAAUUUAAUAACGCCCUUAUCUUAAGUGCAACUAAAAAGUUGUCUUCUAACAAAAUGAUCCCUAAUAUAUGCACUAAAUCUUCAGGGGGGGAGCGGAUUUUUAGAGUUGCUUUAAUGUGCCUUUUUCUUCAAAAGUUUGAAAAGUUGAAUUUCCCCAUACUGAAAAAUUAAAAUUCCCAUAUAAAACUUCAAGUCGAUUGCGGACUAGCUUACCGAUUUUUUAGAAUUUUUAAAUUUUGCAGGGCUUCAUUUGGGUCCAUUUGCAACCAUUUGUGACUAUUCGGGAUUGUGUAUUCGCAAUUUUGCAAAAAUCGACACGGCCUAGUGGGUCGUAUUUCAUUCAUCUCACGCAAUUCACAUCCAUUAAUCGAAAGAGGAGGAUUUUAUCUUUCUAUUUGUGCAAGUGGAUUGCUCGAGAGGGAUGGGAUACGCUCCACAGCUUUGUGAGAAGGCAUUGGUUGUAAAUGCAGUUACGCCCUUUUGAAAUGUAGGUGCCGAAAUACACAAAAACCAGAGCAGAAUUUUAUACAUCCUUUUGCAUUAAUUAUUAUGAUAAAAUGGAAAGAGCUCACCAAUCAACAUCCUUCGAAGUGUCCAGUGCGUAUGUGCUGCAGCAUCUUCCACUAACUGGCCUCCGAAAUCACACUGAAACGCUACAACUAUACACGGGUACGAUGAUGUGUACAUUCAAAUUGACGACGACGACGACGCGGCCGGUCCGAAUGAAAAAAAGCGGCCUCUUCACUUCGCCACCAAAAUAACAGUAAACCGCCCCGUACGAAGAUGAGCACAGUCAAAUCAGCGACGACGACGACGCGGCCGGCCCGAAUGAAAAAAGAGGUCUCUUUACUUUGCCUCCAAAAUCACAUUAAACCGUCCCGUACGAAGAUGAGCACAGUCAAAUCGGCGGCGACGACGACGCGGCCGGCGCGAAUGAAAAAAGCGGUCUCUUCACUUUGCCUCCAAAAUCACACUCAGUUUCAUUGAUGAUUACAAAUUUCCGUUUAAUUUAUUGUUAAACUAUUAUGUAACAGUUUGGUUCUCUGUUAUAACUCUGAAAAAUGGAUUGUAGGUCCACAGUUUGGUAUGCUGUCCUUAAAACAAAGUCACUAACGACAAAUCAAGUCUAUUAUAUGUCAACAAGCUAAAUGUGACGUCAUACCACCUCGCUCUUGUACGUCUGACAAACGAAGAUUAGAAUGACGAAACUGUCAACGUAGAACCAGUAAAGCUUCUAUCACCGCCCUUUUCAAGUCCUGUGAUGGGCUCAUUGGCAAAGGCACCAGUACCAGAUCUCCACCGAUGGUAGGUGUCUUGGUUCAAAUCCCGUUCGGAUCCGAAAAUUUUAUAUGUAUUGGAAACUAUUUUUUUGUGUUACUUACUUUUUCUAAAAAUAGAAUAACACACUUAAAAAUAUUUACCCAAAAAAUGAGUAUAAAACUAGUUUUUACCCUAAAAGGUGUCAAAAGAAUUAUAACACAAUUUCGUUAUUAUUUUGUUAAAUUCUAUCAUAUUUCAUGAAACAAGUUUUAUAAUAUUUUUGUUAUGAUCAUAACAAAAGUUUGUAACGAUAACAUAAUGUCACUUAAUUUAGAACCGCAUUGCAAAUACGUUUUUACCUCAACCGUUUGUAUCUGCUGGCAAAAGCUUUUAAUUUUCACAUGCUGUCAGUAAGGCCAGUAAUGCUGUCAGAUUGCAUUAAAGUAUUUUCACAUGCGCCACCUAGGAGAGGAUUGCGCAAACACGAUGAAACAUUUCGAGUUUAAAUUUAUUGCGUCGUAGAGAGUCAAACAGAUCCAGCCGUGGAAAAUUCCGUAAAUGUAACAAAAGAGUUAUUGAAAGUUAGACUCUCCGUAAUCCACCAAUUGGAGGAAAUUGCGCAGUAAAUUUUUGGCUAUUCCCAAUCUAUCGCGCGUUAUCCUAUUCACUUGAGUGGAGUGCUUAGUGGAAGACAGUUGAAUCUUACCAUAGUGGAGUUAAUUUUUCUAAAGGUGUUUCAAAUCACAUUUAAAUCAAACCAAUUAAACUCGAAGUAAGUUUCGCGCGUGCAAUAAUUAAUUUAAUCUAAUUUCAUUGAUGAAUUGCUCUUUUUAGUGACAGAAUUUGUUGAGUUUAGAUAGUUUAUAUUGAGAAUAAAUCUAGUGAGUAGUGGCUAAUAAUUAAUUCAGGUAAGCCUAUAAUUUUGAAUAAGUGAGCCAAUAAAUUAGAUAAUCCACGUUGUACAGGACGAGUGCCCACGCAACGAGGGCGGUUAGUCCGGAUUGGACACUAGUUCAGCCAAACGAACUGGUGAGUGGAAUCGUCUGAGCGUGUUUGGACUAGCAAGUGUCUUCGGUAGUGCUCGAAUUCCGUCUAGCUCGUGAUUCGUCCGACGUCUGUGGUGCAACGUCACGGUGUCGUCGCAAGUCAAUAAGACGCCCGGUGCCAGCCGAGCUACAACCAACGGCUACCACUCCACGAAGCCGGGGACGCAUUUACCCCGAUCAACGCAUCGGCGCGCGCGAGACACGUGAUAGGACGAGAGCUCGUUUAGAGCCCGAAGCCGUUAAGCAGUUGGUGACGACCAACGAGAACGCUCGACGAGGGAAGAUUUCGAGACGCGUAUUUGGGAAGGAUUGCAUCUCGUAGCCACGUGUUACUUCCGACGCGGGACCUACAACGAACGAUAAGGUCAGAUAAAACCAAAAUCUUUUCUUUGGCUCUUUUUCGCACAUGUGCUAUAAGACCCUAAAAGCUAAUCCGAUAGGAACGUGACGUCACAUGAGGGAAUUAGGCUUGUUUGAAUUGAUUUGAAUAAAAUUUCCUUUUUGAAUUGAAUGUUGAAUGAAACUUGAACUCAAUAAAUUGUGUUGAAUUGGAUUACGCGAUCGUUGAAUGAAUAGUUGUUAAUUACUUCUAGUUUAAUUUAGCUCUCCACGUUCGUUUCGCGUUACGGAAUAAAUUGUAAAUAUAGAUUUCGAUUGGCUUUAGUUAACUAUAAUCUGGACAAAUGCCCCCUUAGGAUUAGAAAUCCCUAGACCAAAACAAGCUAUGUAAGCAAGUAACGCUGCAAACAAAAGGCAAUCCGCCAGAAGAAAUACGAUUACAGGAUUGACUGAUGGACCAAGAACAAAAAUGAAACCUCGUCAUCCUGGGUUCGGACUUAGUUAUCUAUUUGGAUAACUGGGCACAAUUUAUGUUAUGUGUUGCAUGUUUGUGUUUUGUGCAUUUGUAAUGUUCCAUUUUAUUUUGCGUAUCUGAGUUCCCAGACGUGGGGCCCGAUACGGAAAAUAAAAUGUGCAUUUGUAAGGUUCCAAUGUAUUCGUUAUAUUUUACUUUUCGUAUCUCACUAGCUUCAAAAUAUGGGGCUCGAUGCGGAAAAUAAAAUGCGCAUUUGUAGGGUUCUUUUAGCAGUUGUCUACAUUGUGGUACCCAUUAACACAAGCUAUGACGGCGCAAGUGCCUAAUGCGCAUAAACAAACACAAAAGCCGAAAAAAAACUCUUUUGAGGUGCAAAAGGCAACCGUCCAACGUUCGAGAUGUCCUCAGGUUUCCUCACGUUGUCGACCACAUCACUCAGCAACUGAACCUCCAGCUAUGACUGCACUACGGUCGCGUAGUGCAUACACUAUCAUCAAUCAAAAACACAUUCGUGGUGCAACGAUACCGUCCGAUCAGAAACAAGUAGAGAUCAUCGAUCGUCGACAAACCUCUCAGUAGGCUGUAAACGGAAUGUAGAGCUACGACGGUGCAUCUGCCUGAUGCACAAAAACAAUCACACAACAUAAAAUACUCUUUGUAGGUGCUUCGGCCAAAAGUCCAACGUUUGAGAAGUCCAAUAGGUUGCCUCACGUUGUUGACAACAUUCUGUUUCGAAUGUAGGUCAAUCUAGUCUGCUCGAUCAGACAACGACCUUGACCGCGAUAUCGAAACAAGUCGCACAAAAACGGUUCUCUCUUUUCUAAUAAGAAUAGUAAAGAUCAUCCCACAUGUAGGUUUUGUCCAUCACAAUCAAUUUGCACUUAUAAGCACUUUUCUCUUCUUAUUUUAAACUUUCUUUUCUCGUUCCUCGUAUCAUUCAGUAGUUGUCGCAGUAGACACAUCAUAUUUUGCAUAAAAGUUUGUUUUUUCGAAAUGAAUUCCUAACAUAAAAAUUUUGAAAUUUUUUAAAUUUCAAAAUUUUUAUUUCUUAGCAUGGGCGAAAUGUAACCAUAUUGUGAAUUCACUCUAAUAAUUAUCACAUCAUCAAUUUGUGUUCAUGUUUCCAUCCGUUCACUAUGCUGGCAGUUUGCUCGAAAUCAAAUAUGCUGUCAGUUUACAAGUUCAGCCAAGACAACAACUACUCUAUGCGCCACCUAAGAGUUGGCCUCGAAAACUCUAUGAGUUAGUACGUCAGAAUCUCCAGGAUGCGUAUAAGCGAUAUUCACGGCCGUACAAUUUGAGAUCGAACGAAAACCACGUCUUCAAACCUGGCGACCUUGUGUAUAAGCGCGAUAUUCAUCUGUCCGACAAAUCAAAAUACUUCGUUGGCAAAUUCGGAACCAAGUACACCCGUGAUAAAGUUCAGUCGGCUCUUGGAACGAACACGUAUGUUCUUGAGAACGAGGAAGGUCAUAGGAUCCCUGGUACCUUCCAUGGGUCAUUCUUAAAGAAGGCCUAAAAGAAAGAAUCAAUGUUAGUUCUUCCAUGGAGCUUGUAAAAGAUAAGCUAUGACGGCGCAAGUGCCUAUUGCGCAUAAACAACAUAGAAGCCGAAAAAAAAACUCGUUUGAGGUGUAAAAGGCAACCGUCCAACGUUCGAGAUGUCCUCAGGUUUCCUCACGUUGUUGACAACAUCACUUAGUGACUGUAACAUAAGCUAUGACGGCGCAAGUGUCUAGUGCGCAUAAACAAAACAUCGUUGAUGUCCAGAAAACACUCUCUUGAGGUGCAAAAGACAGCAGUCCAACGUUCGAGAUGUUCUUUGAUUCCCUCACGUUGUUGACAAAAACACCAGCUAUGACUGCACUACGGUCGCGUAGUGCAUAAACCAUCAUCGAAUCAAAAUACACAUUAGUGGUGCAACGAGACUGUCCGAUGUAUCAUCGAUCGUCGACGAAGUUCUUAUCUAGCUGCAAUGUUGUGCAGCUAUGACGGUGCAUCUUCCUAAUGCACAAAAACAACGAAACAACAAGCCCAAAUAAAACACUUCAGUAGGUUGAUUGCAUCUUGCUUCAAAUCUAGGUCAGUAGAGUCUGCUCGAUCAGACUGUGACCUUGACCGAGAAAUCGAAGCUAAUAGGAUUCGCAGCGGUAUUCUCUGUUCUUAUUAGAACAGCAAUGAAUAGUCGGCAGCGUUGUAUGUUCACUUCACAAUAACACAAUUUUAGCACUUUUACGUAAAUUAUCUUCGUAUCACUUCACCUUUUUUACUUUCCUAUAUUAAUUUCCAAUUUGUUGUUCAUAAAUCCAGUCGAAUAAUAUCAUUUUUGCAGUAAUUUCCUGAAAAUUUAGUAGAAUAUGUCAUUUUCCUUACCUCAUCAUGCGUUGUUAUUAUCAUUCCAAUUUCUCAUUCAGUUUUCACUUUGACAGUAAUUUACAGCACGUUCUUAAAGCUUAGUUUUUGACAUUCCGCGAAACGUCUUAAACGUCUGAAUAGGGUAGCUAUGUUGACUGGUAGGAUUAGAAUAGGGCGUGAAUGAUUUUCGGUAUGCGUUUAGGUAAUUAGUUAAGUAGGUAAUUACGUUUUCCAAUUCGUUAAUUGGAGUAAUUCGGUUAAUCGGUCUUUGAGUUUUCCUGAUGUGUCAGGAGUAAAUCGGUUUAGGUAAGACAAAUUUUCAGAUAUUUCCGAAGUUAUCGGUAUAUAGAAUAAGAUGAAAUGUUUGAUGAGUGUUUCGGUUUGUCAGUAAAGGAAUUAUUUGGUUUGUUAGUAUCGUGUUUGGUCAGCUCAACAUAGUUAUUCCGUUAGGCGAUUUAGUAUGUUUUGAUUAGUUGCAAUAGUUUCAGUUCAGUAAAUUUCAUGUUUCAUUUGUUUAGGUUAUUCCGAUUCAGAAAAAAAAUCUUUAAAUUUUAUCAAUGUUCUAUGUUAGUAUUUUCUAAAUAAAUAUUAAACAUAAAAAUUUUGAAAUUUUACAAAUUUCAAAAUUUUUAUUUCUUAGCAUGGGCGAAAUGUAACGAUAACAUAAUGUCACUUAAUUUAGAACCGCAUUGCAAAUACGUUUUUACCUCAACCGUUUGUAUCUGCUGGCAAAAGCUUUUAAUUUUCACAUGCUGUCUGUAAGGCCAGUAAUGUUGUCAGAUUGCAUUAAAGUAUUUUCACAUGCGCCACCUAGGAGAGGAUUGCGCAAACACGAUGAAACAUUUCGAGUUUAAAUUUAUUGCGUCGUAGAGAGUCAAACAGAUCCAGCCGUGGAAAAUUCCGUAAAUGUAGCAAAAGAGUUAUUGAAAGUUAGACUCUCCGUAAUCCACCAAUUGGAGGAAAUUGCGCAGUAAAUUUUUGGCUAUUCCCAAUCUAUCGCGCGUUAUCCUAUUCACUUGAGUGGAGUGCUUAGUGGAAGACAGUUGAAUCUUACCAUAGUGGAGUUAAUUUUUCUAAAGGUGUUUCAAAUCACAUUUAAAUCAAACCAAUUAAACUCGAAUGACAGAAUUUGUUGAGUUUAGAUAGUUUAUAUUGAGAAUAAAUCUAGUGAGUAGUGGCUAAUAAUUAAUUCAGGACGAGUGCCCACGCAACGAGGGCGGUUAGUCCGGAUUGGACACUAGUUCAGCCAAACGAACUGGUGAGUGGAAUCGUCUGAGCGUGUUUGGACUAGCAAGUGUCUUCGGUAGUGCUCGAAUUCCGUCUAGCUCGUGAUUCGUCCGACGUCUGUGGUGCAACGUCAGGGUGUCGUCGCAAGUCAAUAAGACGCCCGGUGCCAGCCGAGCUACAACCAACGGCUACCACUCCACGAAGCCGGGGACGCAUUUACCCCGAUCAACGCAUCGGCGCGCGCGAGACACGUGAUAGGACGAGAGCUCGUUUAGAGCCCGAAGCCGUUAAGCAGUUGGUGACGACCAACGAGAACGCUCGACGAGGGAAGAUUUCGAGACGCGUAUUUGGGAAGGAUUGCAUCUCGUAGCCACGUGUUACUUCCGACGCGGGACCUACAACGAACGAUAAGGUCAGAUAAAACCAAAAUCUUUUCUUUGGCUCUUUUUCGCACAUGUGCUAUAAGACCCUAAAAGCUAAUCCGAUAGGAACGUGACGUCACAUGAGGGAAUUAGGCUUGUUUGAAUUGAUUUGAAUAAAAUUUCCUUUUUGAAUUGAAUGUUGAAUGAAACUUGAACUCAAUAAAUUGUGUUGAAUUGGGUUACGCGAUCGUUGAAUGAAUAGUUGUUAAUUACUUCUAGUUUAAUUUAGCUCUCCACGUUCAUUUCGCGUUACGGAAUAAAUUGUAAAUAUAGAUUUAGAUUGGCUUUAGUUAACUAUAAUCUGGACAAUUCCCCUUUGAUGAAUUACUGAGAUUUUUCUUAGAUUUUUUCGCGAUUUUGUUGUAAAUAUUUGCUGAUUUCUGUUUGGCUAUCGUGCGAAGCGUUUGGUGUUGAAGUGAAUCUUCGGUUCUGAGACAACUGUUUCACCUGCCCUGAGAAGGCAGUUUCAAUCCGGGCAAAUUUAAAGGAGUAACGGUCCUUCGUUUGAAGGUGGCGCAUAAGCCGUUUACUUAAGGGACAGAACGGAGCGUUACAAGUUAUUUCAUUUUUGUUCUUUUCAGUGGGCAUUUUGAUAGAAUUUUUGUUAUUUUAACUACUAACGGUACAUGUUUUAUAACAACCAUUGUUAUAAAAAUUUAUUGUAACAAAAUAACAAAGCUUGUUAUAAUUUUGUAAUGUUCAUCUAGUCGGGUAGACACUAUAGCAACUCCUGGAACGAUGUCCGAAAGCACUUCUGGGGCGAUUUCCGUAGGAAUUCUCAAAGAAACUCCUGGAACACUUCAGAAGGAAUCCACAUUAUAAUUCCUGGAGAAGUUCUCAGAGGAACUCGUGGACGAAUCCUCGAUGGACCAUCCUGGAGGAACUCCGGGAGCCAUUCCCGGAAGAACUCCUGGAGGAAUUCCUGGAGGAACUCCUUAAGGAAUUCCCAGAGGAACUUCUAGAGAAAUUCGCGGAUGAACUCGUGGAGGAAUUCACGUAGAAAAUCCUGGAGUAAUCUCCGAAGGCACUUUUCGGGGAGUUGCCCGGAAGAAUUCUCGAGAGAAUUCCUAGAAGAGUUCUCGAAUACUAAUUGAUAAAUAUUCGGAGGAAUUCCUGCAGGACCUUGCGGAGAAACUCCUAGAGAUAUUCACUGUAGAAUUCCCGGGGGAACAGCUGGGGAAACUCACGAAGGAAUUCCUGGGGCAACUCACGGAGAAACUCCUGGAGUAAUUCCCCGAGGAACUCCUGGAGCAUUUACAUGGGAACACCUGCAGCAAGACACAGAGAAACUCCUGUAGCAAAUUUCGGAUGGACUCCUGAAGCAAUGUCUAGGCAAAAUUUGAAAACAUAUUUUCGUACCAUUAGAAAUAGGAACACUUAAAA